rnacentral:rRNA from 1 species
AUUGAACGCUGGCGGAAUGCUUUACACAUGCAAGUCGAACGGCAGCACGGGUGCUUGCACCUGGUGGCGAGUGGCGAACGGGUGAGUAAUGCACCGGAACGUAUCCAAUAAUGGGGGAUAACGCACCGAAAGGUGUGCUAAUACCGCAUACGCCCUGAGGGGGAAAGCGGGGGAUCGUAAGACCUUGCGUUAAUGGAGCGGCCGAUGCCGGAUUAGCUAGUUGGUGAGGUAAAGGCUCACCAAGGCGACGAUCCGUAGCUGGUCUGAGAGGACGACCAGCCACACUGGAACUGAGACACGGUCCAGACUCCUACGGGAGGCAGCAGUGGGGAAUUUUGGACAAUGGGCGCAAGCCUGAUCCAGCCAUUCCGCGUGAGUGAAGAAGGCCU